rnacentral:lncRNA from 1 species
UCCUCGGAAGGGUACCUCAUUCCCUCAUAUUUUCCUAUAUGGUAUGAGCCGCCUCCUAAUUCCUCACGGAACUUGAUCCGAUCUACUCACCUCUUCUCCAUGGCGGACUCCUCGGCGCCGCUGGCCUUCGGCCUCCUUCCCCCCGUCUCGGAGAAGCUUACUCGUGGGAAUUACAACAUGUGGCAUGCCACCGUUACGUCUGCGCUGAAGGGUGCUCGUCUGUUCGGCUAUGUUCAGUCAACGGCGGCGCCCCCAUCUCCGUUCCUCUCCGACGCCGGCUCGGCGUCAUCUGCGGCGGGUGCUGCGAAGGAAGAGCCCAGGCCGAAUCCGGCGUAUGAGAAGUGGGUGUCUGAGGAUCAGUGGCGGAUCCAGAAAUGGACCAAGAGGGGGGCUAAAUAAUAUAGGCUAAUUUUUUUUCUCGCUCAAUCCUGUACACUAAGGCCUUGUUUAGUUUCAAAUUAUUUUGCAAAAUAGGAAUAGUAGCAUUUUCGUUUGUAUUUGACAAAUAUUGUCCGAUCAUGGACUAACUAGGCUCAAGAGAUUCGUCUCGCAAAUUACAGGUAGACUGUGUAAUUAGUUAUUUCUUUUAUCUAUAUUUAGUGCUUCAUACAUGUGCAACAAGAUUCGAUGUGAUGGAAAAUCUGAGAAAUUUUGUAAAAUCUUUUGGGAACUAAACAAGGC